AGUGAACGCUGGCGGGAGGCUGAACACAUGCAAGUCGAACGGCAGCACAGUAAGAGCUUGCUCUUACGGGUGGCGAGUGGCGGACGGGUGAGGAAUACAUCGGAAUCUACUUUUUCGUGGGGGAUAACGUAGGGAAACUUACGCUAAUACCGCAUACGACCUACGGGUGAAAGCAGGGGAUCUUCGGACCUUGCGCGAUUGAAUGAGCCGAUGUCGGAUUAGCUAGUUGGCGGGGUAAAGGCCCACCAAGGCGACGAUCCGUAGCUGGUCUGAGAGGAUGAUCAGCCACACUGGAACUGAGACACGGUCCAGACUCCUACGGGAGGCAGCAGUGGGGAAUAUUGGACAAUGGGCGCAAGCCUGAUCCAGCCAUACCGCGUGGGUGAAGAAGGCCUUCGGGUUGUAAAGCCCUUUUGUUGGGAAAGAAAAGCAGCAGGUUAAUACCCCGCUGUUCUGACGGUACCCAAAGAAUAAGCACCGGCUAACUUCGUG
rnacentral:rRNA from 1 species